UUUUUAAAUUUGCCUUUUUAUGUAUCUUUUUCAGAUGAGCUGAUUAGAGAUUACGAAACAAGUUUAAAAUCAGCGGAAUUAGUAGCCACUAUUCCUGUAUAAGCUAUGUCCUACAAGGUAUCGUUUAAUUUAAAACCCAAGUCAUACUCAUAUGGUUUUUAAAGUGUUCUUCAUUUCACUAUUGGUAAUGAUAUCAGUGAAUUCGGUGACGGAACUCCAACACUUUGGUUUCGACCCUAAGAACCUAACUAUAAGGGUUUUUUACGUCACUGCACCGAUAAAUUAAAAUAGGAAUAGAGAAAUCUAUAUUGAUGCACUUCCUUACAAUGUGUGGAAAAACGUUGUUAUUAUUCAGCAACGUAUUGAUGACAAAUAUGUUUUCACAAUUAACGUAAAUGGAGCAAACGCAUUUUCUGAAAAUAAUGCCAAACCCCAAAAAUUUGACAACGUGAAAGUUUUUGCUUCCGAUCAGUAGUAUUCAUCUCAAGAUGGAUCAAUAAAAAAUCUCAUUCUUAAAAACGGGGAGCCUAGUAUUACUUUUUUUUUAACGCUCUUUUUUACUAUUUUUGUCUAACGCAUUUAAAAUCAGGCGUAUCAAAGAGUCUGCUGUUUCGUUUUGUAUUUUAAUAAUUAAAAGUGUACAUUCAAAAACUUUUAAAUGCACUAUUUGUUAUUUUUUUAUAUCUAAACUAGUUUCAUAAACAGUACUUUUAUUUUUUACACUUUUACUUUUAAUGAAUUGUCUAACUGAAUUUAAAUGGAUUCUAUUAUUCGCAAGUUAUUUUAGGUGAAUCUUUUCCGAAAGCCGUACUGAAGUCGAAAUAUUUUGUGGAUAACGAAGUUGAAGAGACACUGAAGAAAAAUAACUUGGUUGCGAUUUUGUCAAAAUUAGAACAAUCAUUCGAUUUUUAUUUCGAUUUAAAACUCAACAGUUUUUCAGAUGGAUUUAGGUGUGUCAUUCAUUUGACUAUAUGAGAGGAUAAUUCAAAAUACGGUGAUCGAAUUCUUGGUAUUUGGGUUUUUAAGCAAAUGUUACACGUUGGUUUUGCAAUAAACAAUAAUAAAAAUGAAUAUUUUGAAUCCAAGCCACUUCAACAAGGCCAGUGGAUAAAUGUUCAUAUACGUCAGCACGCUGAAUCUGGAAGUGCUUCUUUUACUUUAUAUAUCAACAACGAAAAUGUAUAUACUGUACAAAACUUCAACCCACAAGAAUUUACAAAUGUCAAAGUUUACGCGAAAGAUUCGUGAUAUGAAACUCAGGAUGGCUCCAUUAAAAUGUUCAAUAUCAUUAAUGGAUAUUUAGGUAAAUUCUAAAACUUUGACAUGAAAGCUUGAACGACUGCUGCAUCGAUUUUAUAUUGGAUUGUUUGCUUUCAUCGUUUUUAUUCUUUUAUUUUAAUUAGAUGAGAAAAAGGAAUUAAAAAAGGACGCCAUACGAAAAAAGUCAUUUUGGUUAAAUAGUUAAUGUUUUUU
rnacentral:lncRNA from 1 species